rnacentral:rRNA from 1 species
AGGAGCUUGCUUCUCUGACGUUAGCGGCGGACGGGUGAGUAACACGUGGAUAACCUACCUAUAAGACUGGGAUAACUUCGGGAAACCGGAGCUAAUACCGGAUAAUAUAUUGAACCGCAUGGUUCAAUAGUGAAAGACGGUUUUGCUGUCACUUAUAGAUGGAUCCGCGUCGCAUUAGCUAGUUGGUAAGGUAACGGCUUACCAAGGCAACGAUGCGUAGCCGACCUGAGAGGGUGAUCGGCCACACUGGAACUGAGACACGGUCCAGACUCCUACGGGAGGCAGCAGUAGGGAAUCUUCCGCAAUGGGCGAAAGCCUGACGGAGCAACGCCGCGUGAGUGAUGAAGGUCUUCGGAUCGUAAAACUCUGUUAUUAGGGAAGAACAAAUGUGUAAGUAACUAUGCACGUCUUGACGGUACCUAAUCAGAAAGCCACGGCUAACUACGUGCCAGCAGCCGCGGUAAUACGUAGGUGGCAAGCGUUAUCCGGAAUUAUUGGGCGUAAAGCGCGCGUAGGCGGUUUUUUAAGUCUGAUGUGAAAGCCCACGGCUCGACCGUGGAGGGUCAUUGGAAACUGGAAAACUUGAGUGCAGAAGAGGAAAGUGGAAUUCCAUGUGUAGCGGUGAAAUGCGCAGAGAUAUGGAGGAACACCAGUGGCGAAGGCGACUUUCUGGUCUGUAACUGACGCUGAUGUGCGAAA